UUUAUUAGCAGCGUUGUGAUUGGAUAGUUUUGUGCGACGUACAUGUAAUUUAUUUACCGCUAUUUGGUAUCGCGUCGGUUAGCGUCCUUUAUCGUACAAAGUUGCUGAUCUGCAAAGAAAGGAGAAACACAGGAUUUAUUUUCAUUAUGGCAGCUAAACGAAAGACCAAGACAGAGAAGCCCUCAGCUGAUAGUGCUGAUGCUGCUGCUGCCCCUGCCCCUUCAGCAAGCAAACCCAAAGCCAAAAAGGCUCCCAAAAGGAAAGGUGUUAAAAAAGGAGGAGUUAAAAAAGCCAAGAAAGGAGGUGCUAAAAAAAAGAAAUAGACUUAAUAGGUUUUAACUCGGGGAGCAAUACGCAACUCAGGCCGUAUGGAAUCUCUACCAUAUAUAGUGUUAAUUAUAGAGACAAUUUAAAUAUUUACUCAUCAAUGUGGUUUUUUUUAAAAAUCUGAUCUAUAUUUUAAGUCACCACGAACAUCAUUUGUAUUUUAUUUAUUGAACAUCUUUUAAAUGAUUUAAAUACAUCAUGUUUACUUAUUUAUUUUAAUAUUAAACUAUCAUAUUACUGAUGUUCAUUGCACCCUCUUUUCUUCUAGAAUAUAGAUUAUAUGUUUUAUAUUUAUCGUGUAGAAAAAAAAAUCACAAUCAUUUUUUUUGUACUAAAAAAUAAAACAGCUCUAAAAAAAUAA